ACGGGAUUGGGGAAACGGUUACCUCGAUCGGCUAGGAACCGAAUGGUUGCGGUUCGAAUCCGCAUCCCGAA
rnacentral:tRNA from 1 species